rnacentral:rRNA from 1 species
CCUACGGGUGGCAGCAGUGAGGAAUAUUGGUCAAUGGGCGCGAGCCUGAACCAGCCAAGUCGCGUGAGGGAAGACGGUCCUAUGGAUUGUAAACCUCUUAUGUCGGGGAGCAAAAGACGCUACGCGUGGCGUUCCGAGAGUACCCGAAGAAAAAGCAUCGGCUAACUCCGUGCCAGCAGCCGCGGUAAUAGGAAGGAUGCGCGCGUUAGCCGGAUUUAGUGGGUUUAAAGGGUGCGCAGGCGGAAGAUAAAGUCAGAGGUAAAAUUGAGGGGCUCAACCUCGUCGAGCUGUUGAAACUGGUGUACUUGAGUGAGCGAGAGGUAUGCGGAAUGCGUGGUGUAGCGGUGAAAUGCAUAGAUAUCACGCAGAACACCGAUGGCGAAGGCAGCAUACCGGGGCUCAACUGACGCUCAUGCACGAAAGUGUGGGUAGCGAACAGGAUUAGAUACCCUAGUAGUC